GAUGAACGCUGGCGGCGUGCCUAAUACAUGCAAGUCGAGCGAAUGGAUUAAGAGCUUGCUCUUAUGAAGUUAGCGGCGGACGGGUGAGUAACACGUGGGUAACCUGCCCAUAAGACUGGGAUAACUCCGGGAAACCGGGGCUAAUACCGGAUAACAUUUUGAACCGCAUGGUUCGAAAUUGAAAGGCGGCUUCGGCUGUCACUUAUGGAUGGACCCGCGUCGCAUUAGCUAGUUGGUGAGGUAACGGCUCACCAAGGCAACGAUGCGUAGCCGACCGGGGCUGGUGAUCGGCCACACUGGGACUGAGACACGGCCCAGACUCCUACGGGAGGCAGCAGUAGGGAAUCUUCCGCAAUGGACGAAAGUCUGACGGAGCAACGCCGCGUGAGUGAUGAAGGCUUUCGGGUCGUAAAACUCUGUUGUUAGGGAAGAACAAGUGCUAGUUGAAUAAGCUGGCACCUUGACGGUACCUAACCAGAAAGCCACGGCUAACUACGUGCCAGCAGCCGCGGUAA
rnacentral:rRNA from 1 species